rnacentral:tRNA from 1 species
GGGCGGUUAGCUCAGCUGGUUAGAGCGCAUGCUUGACAUGCAUGAGGCCAGGGGUUCAAGUCCCUUACCGCCCACCA